UGACGCUAUUGGCUGAUUCUUGUUGCCUC
rnacentral:sRNA from 1 species